AUCCAGACUCCUACGGGAGGCAGCAGUGAGGAAUAUUGGUCAAUGGCCGAGAGGCUGAACCAGCCAAGUCGCGUGAGGGAAGACGGCCCUACGGGUUGUAAACCUCUUUUGUCGGGGAGCAAAGCGAGUCACGUGUGACUCAUUGAGAGUACCCGAAGAAAAAGCAUCGGCUAACUCCGUGCCAGCAGCCGCGGUAAUACGGAGGAUGCGAGCGUUAUCCGGAUUUAUUGGGUUUAAAGGGUGCGCAGGCGGCGUGUCAAGUCAGCGGUAAAAUGUCGGGGCUCAACCCCGGCCGGCCGUUGAAACUGGCAGUCUCGAGUUGGAGAGAAGUAUGCGGAAUGCGCGGUGUAGCGGUGAAAUGCAUAGAUAUCACGCAGAACUCCGAUUGCGAAGGCAGCAUACCGGCGGCGAUCUGACGCUGAGGCACGAAAGCGUGGGUAUCGAACAGGAUUAGAUACCCCUGUA
rnacentral:rRNA from 1 species